rnacentral:rRNA from 1 species
AUUGAACGCUGGCGGAAUGCUUUACACAUGCAAGUCGAACGGCAGCACGGGUGCUUGCACCUGGUGGCGAGUGGCGAACGGGUGAGUAAUACAUCGGAACGUACCCAGUCGUGGGGGAUAACGCAGCGAAAGUUACGCUACUACCGCAUACGUCCUGAGGGAGAAAGCGGGGGACCGUGAGGCCUCGCGCGAUUGGAGCGGACGGGGGCGGGUUAGCUAGUGGGUGGGGUAAGGGCCUACCAAGGCGACGAUCCGUAGCGGGUCUGAGAGGACGGCCCGCCACACUGAAACGGAGACACUGUCCAGACUCCUACGGGAGGCAGCAGUGGGGAAUUUUGGACAAUGGGCGAAAGCCUGAUCCAGCCAUUCCGCGUGAGUGAAGAAGGCCUUCGGGUUGUAAAGCUCUUUCGGCAGGGAAGAAACGGCUUGGGAUAAUACCCCGGGCUAAUGACGGUACCUGAAGAAGAAGCACCGGCUAACUACGUGCCAGCCGCCGCCGUAA